rnacentral:tRNA from 1 species
UGCCCUGUUGGACGAACUGGCUAAGUCGCUACCCUUUCAAGGUAGAGAAUACGGGUUCAAACCCCGUACAGGGAAUAAU